GUAGUUUUAAAGGGACCCUGACAGGUGUUGUGGAUCCAUAUUUUGAUUUGCCUUUUGCAGUUAUAAUCUGUUAGACAGUUAGGUUUUAGGGAGUCUUUUUUAGAAACAAUGAAUUUUCCAGGUAUUAUAAAAAAGCACAUCCUCCUCAUCAGAUUAAGGCCUGGUGUGUUUGGGAUUUUAUAUCCUUAGCCUGCAGAAGGAUACUUAAAAAAAAAAAAUAAUCUAAUAGAGUUUUCAGACUUGUUUUAACAAUUAGCUUAAAAUAGCUUAAGAUACAUGUGAUGAUAUGCUGUGGAUGACUCGCUAAUGCAAGUGCUGCCUAUUAUGCAUGAGGAGCCUACAAGUAUAAAUGACUUACAAAUGAGACCAUUUCUGGAAAUUGAGACAAGUUCUUCUGACUGGAGAGAUGAUACUCCCAUCUGCAAAUAUUUUGUGUUUCUACUUUUUGAUAGCAAGAGUGAUACAAUUUCAUCUGAAGAAGUGAGUGGCAUAAAAUCUUGCAGUAUGAGAGUUGAGCAGUGCCACCUCUACCAGUUCCACCUUGGACAGCUGUCACAGUGAAAAACCAUUGGUCAUCCCUGCCUGAAGAAGGGCUUUGACACUUGUAUUCAGAAAUGGCAGUCAGCCAGAAAGCUCAGUCUCAUAUAUAUGCAGAAACCUGGAGGAAGGGCAGGAUUCAGUGCUCUUAAAUAUUUCUUACUGAUUGACUUAGGCCUCUGCUUUGCUCUUUGCAAUGGCUGUCACAGUCCUUUUCCCAGCUUUUAUCCCACCCCCACCUUCAUGGCAUGUUUUGUACAAGCACCUCUGUAGAGUGUGAAUUCCAGUACUAAGGCUAGGAGCCUAAAUCCAGCAGUGGCAAUACCCAAGGUCUUGAGUCACGUUGUGGCCCCAAAUCUUUCUGAAGCUAAUUUGAACACUGUUUGGCUGCUGUCUCAGUGACAACAGAUUUCAAGAACAGAAAUGUUGACGGCCCUACCUUAUCUUCGCUCUUUUAAAGUACACAUUUCUGUAUUUAUAUCAUUUAAAGGAUAUCAUACUUAAAUGGUCAAAUAUGAAUCAUACAUUAUUAUUUAUUAAUUAUUCAAUUAAUUAGUUUAUAGAAAUUCUGCCUUUAUGAGACUCUUAACUAUUAGAAUCAGAUUAGAGAUAAAUGUACAUGUGAGUAGAUUUCCUCCCCUCACUAAGGUCAUAGAGCUUGUUCUAGAAACAAUCAGGGCAGUGUUCAAAAUCACAAAGUUUUAUUGAAGACACGGGUAGGUCAUUGUUUCAUCACUGUUAAGUAUAAUAUCAGAGGUCUUUUAAAUCAGAGAAAAUAAUGAAAACAUAAGCCUGAGAAAGGGCCAAUUGCCUUUCUGUUGCCAGCCAACAAUUGCCAACCUCCAGUAUAGGAAGCUGCAGAUGUUUCUUAUAGAGAAAUGAUUUAAGACUUGCAUCUUGUUAAGAAUAAGACUGAAAACAAUGUUAAGAAUAACAGUUCUGUUACCACUGGACAACAGAUUUUCUUGUGCUUGUGUGAUGGUAUGUAAAAGCACUUCCAGGAACUGAAAACAGGUAUUUUUAC
rnacentral:lncRNA from 1 species